rnacentral:rRNA from 1 species
AUGCUGCGGAGCACCUUGCCGCUGCACCGGGUGACGGCGAAGAACAAGGAGGCGUGGAGGAAGGAGGCGUCGAAGAAGAAGGUCCGGAUCCUGGGCAGGGCGGUGCUGGUCAAGAGCGACGUGCUCGACCUCGGCGACUUCCACUCCUCCCUCCUCGACGGCGCCCAAAAGUUGCUCGACAAGGACGACGGCAUCUGCUUCCACCUCGUCAGCGCCACCCUGCCAGACCCCAGCAAGGGGAAUAGGGGAUGGGUGGGGAGGCCGGCGCACCUGCAGGAGAUGGUGGUGACCAACAAGUCGACAGCGGCGGGGGAGUCGGUCUUCACGGUGACGUUCGACUCCGACGAGUCGCAGGGCAUCCCCGGCGCCGUCAUCGUCAGGAACAGCCACCGCUCCGAGUUCCUCCUGAAGACGCUCACCAUCGACAGCGUCCCAGGCAAGAGAACCGUCGUCUUCGUCGCCAACUCCUGGAUCUACCCAAACGAUGACCGCGUCUUCUUCGCCAACGAUACCUACCUGCCCAGCAAAAUGCCCGCACCUUUGGUGCAAUACCGGCGAAACGAACUCAUCAAUCUCCAAGGCGACGGUACAGAAAGAGAGUAUAAGGAGCAUGACCGUGUGUACCGCUAUGACUACUACAAUGACCUGGGAGAGCCAGGCAGGGGCGAGAUGUAUGCACGGCCGAUCCUCGGCGGCAGCCAAGAACUUCCAUAUCCCCGCCGUGGCAGAACAGGCCGAGGCCCAACAAAAACAGACCCUAGAUCAGAGAGCAGAAUUCCUCAGUACAAGGUCAUGAACAUCUAUGUCCCACGCGAUGAGCGCAUUGGGCACCUCAAGUUGUCUGACUUCCUUGGGUACUCUCUCAAGGCCAUCACCGAUGCUGUUCUUCCGAUAAUUAGGACCUAUGUUGACAGUACACCCAAGGAGUUUGAUUCGUUUCAAGAUAUCUAUGAUCUCUAUGAUGGUCUUCUGAAAUUGCCCAUUAACCAACACUCAAAGGAGCUCAAGAAUAAAAUCCCCCUUCAUUUUAUUAAAAGUGUUUUACCAUCUGUUGGUGACGACUUCCUAAACUUGCCCCUUCCACAUGUUAUCAAAUCAGAUCCGUAUGCUUGGAAAUCAGAUGAGGAGUUUGCACGUGAGAUGCUUGCAGGCAUGAACCCGGUUUGCAUCAGACGUCUGACGGAGUUCCCUGUAAAAAGUACUCUGGAUCCAAGUGUGUACGGGGACCAGUCAAGCACAAUCACUGAAGAUCAAAUUCAGCAGAACCUGGAAGGCCUCACAGUGACACAGGCAAUGGAGAGUAACAGGCUCUUCAUUUUAGAUCACCACGAUAACUUCAUGCCAUUCCUUGACCGCAUCAACAAGUUGGAAGGCAACUUCAUCUACGCUUCAAGGACCCUGCUGUUCCUGAAGGCCGACGGUACGCUGAAGCCCUUGGCCAUUGAGCUGAGCCUGCCGCACCCUGAUGGGCUUCAGCAUGGCGCAGAGAGCAGGGUGUAUGUUCCGGCUGACGAACGAGUUGACGGCCAGAUCUGGCAGCUUGCCAAGGCUUACGCCUGCGUCAAUGACUCUGCUUGGCAUCAACUAAUCAGCCACUGGUUGAACACACAUGCGGUGAUGGAGCCGUUUGUGAUUGCGACGAACCGGCAACUGAGUGUGGUGCAUCCCGUGCACAAACUGCUGAGCCCACACUACCGCGACACGAUGAACAUCAACGCCAUGGCGCGGACGGUGCUCAUCAACGCUGGCGGCUUAUUUGAGCUGACUGUCUUCCCAGGAAAGUACGCGCUCGAGAUGUCUUCAGUAGUGUAUAAGAAGUGGAAACUCACCGAGCAGGGCCUCCCCGACGACCUAGUCAAAAGGGGCAUGGCUGUGCGAGACCCGUCGAGCCCAUACGGCAUCCGUCUGCUGCUAAAGGACUACCCGUACGCCGUGGACGGGCUGGCGAUCUGGUGGGCAAUCCAGCAAUGGGUGAAGGAGUACUUGGGCAUCUAUUACCCCAACGACUGCGUGCUCCAAGCUGACAAGGAGCUAAAGGAGUGGUGGAAAGAGGUCCGCGAAGUCGGGCACGGCGACCUCAAGGACGAGGACUGGUGGCCCAAGAUGGAGACCGUCGAGGAGCUGGCCAAGACAUGCAUCACCAUCAUCUGGGUGGCGUCGGCCCUGCACGCGUCAGUCAACUUUGGGCAGUACCAGUACGCGGGGUACCUCCCAAACCGGCCGACGGUCAGCCGGCAGAAGAUGCCGGUGCCCGGAACGGAGGAGUACACACAGCUGGAGCGUGGUGACGAGGAGGCCGACAGGGUUUUCAUCCACACCAUCAGCCAGUACUUGCAGAGCAUCCUCGGCCUCACCCUCAUCCAGACCCUGUCGAAGCACUCGUCGGACGAAGUGUACCUCGGGCAGCGCGACACGCCGGAGUGGACGUCGGAUGCCAAGGCACUGGAGUUGUUCGAAAGGUUCGGCACACAGCUGGUGGAGAUCGAGGAGCGGAUCACGGCGAUGAACAAGGAUCCGGCGCUCAAGAACCGGAACGGGCCGGUGAAUAUGCCGUACAUGCUGCUGUACCCCAACACGUCGGACCUCACCGGCGAUCGAGCCUGUGGGCUUACUGGCAUGGGCAUCCCCAACAGCGUCUCCAUCUGA